rnacentral:rRNA from 1 species
UACGAAGGGGGCUAGCGUUGUUCGGAAUUACUGGGCGUAAAGCGUGCGCAGGCGGCUUCUCAAGUCAGGGGUGAAAGCCCAGAGCUCAACUCUGGAAUUGCCUUUGAGACUGAGUGGCUUGAGUACGAGAGAGGUGAGUGGAAUUCCUAGUGUAGAGGUGAAAUUCGUAGAUAUUAGGAAGAACACCAGUGGCGAAGGCGGCUCACUGGCCCGGUACUGACGCUGAGGCGCGAAAGCGUGGGGAGCAAACAGG